rnacentral:rRNA from 1 species
AAUAGAUACCCCGGUAGUCCACCCCGUAGACGUUGGGAACUAGUUGUGGGGUCCUUUCCACGGAUUCCGUGACGCAGCUAACGCAUUAAGUUCCCCGCCUGGGGAGUACGGCCGCAAGGCUAAAACUCAAAGGAAUUGACGGGGACCCGCACAAGCGGCGGAGCAUGCGGAUUAAUUCGAUGCAACGCGAAGAACCUUACCAAGGCUUGACAUACACCAGAACACCCUAGAAAUAGGGGACUCUUUGGACACUGGUGAACAGGUGGUGCAUGGUUGUCGUCAGCUCGUGUCGUGAGAUGUUGGGUUAAGUCCCGCAACGAGCGCAACCCUCGUUCUAUGUUGCCAGCACGUAAUGGUGGGAACUCAUGGGAUACUGCCGGGGUCAACUCGGAGGAAGGUGGGGAUGACGUCAAAUCAUCAUGCCCCUUAUGUCUUGGGCUUCACGCAUGCUACAAUGGCCGGUACAAAGGGCUGCAAUACCGUGAGGUGGAGCGAAUCCCAAAAGCCGGUCCCAGUUCGGAUUGAGGUCUGCAACUCGACCUC